CGGUUUCCUGCUUCAACAGUGCUAGGACGGAACCCG
rfam:Callithrix jacchus chromosome 16, whole genome shotgun sequence